ACUGAACGCUGGCGGAAUGCUUUACACAUGCAAGUCGAACGGCAGCACGGACUUCGGUCUGGUGGCGAGUGGCGAACGGGUGAGUAACAUAUCGGAACGUAUCCAAUAAUGGGGGAUAACGAGUCGAAAGAUUCGCUAAUACCGCAUACGCCCUACGGGGGAAAGCUGGGGACCUUCGGGCCUGGCGUUAAUGGAGCGGCCGAUAUCUGAUUAGCUAGUUGGUGAGGUAAAGGCUCACCAAGGCGACGAUCAGUAGCUGGUCUGAGAGGACGACCAGCCACACUGGAACUGAGACACGGUCCAGACUCCUACGGGAGGCAGCAGUGGGGAAUUUUGGACAAUGGGCGCAAGCCUGAUCCAGCCAUUCCGCGUGAGUGAAGAAGGCCUUCGGGUUGUAAAGCUCCUUCGCAAGGGAAGAAAACUUAGCCACUAACAUUGGUUGAGGUUGACGGUACCUUGAUAAGAAGCACCGGCUAACUACGUGCCAGCAGCCGCAGUAA
rnacentral:rRNA from 1 species